GAGUACGUGAAACCGUUCAGGGGUAAACCUGAGAAACCCAAAAGAUCGAAUGGGGAGAUUCAUCGUCAGCUCAUUUUGUAUAUAUAUGAGUUAUGAUGCGNNAGUUACUCUUNNGUAGUAUUGCUNUGUACAUACUUGUAUGUUUAUUUGCAAGAUGUUGUCGGCGUGCACUUCUCCCCUAGUAGAACGUCGCGACCCGUUGGGUGUUGGUCUACGACCCAAGNUGGGAGACUUUAAUAUUNNUUANNUAAUAUUAAAGACCCUUGGUGUUNUUCUGACCGGCUGCUCGGCGGUACUCGUACGGUAUUUAGCCGCAUNUUNANNNUUUGCGUCCAUGUCCGUCGCAAGCGAGAUAAACUUCUGGUAGUNGCGGACCUAGUGCCGUCGCUGGGGUUUGUCAGCUGUUGGUUGUNACGGAAUUCUAGGACUGGCUAAAANNUUAUNNUACCGGUCGGCGAUGCUACUGCUUUGGGUACUUUCAGGACCCGUCUUGAAACACGGACCAAGGAGUCUAACAUGUG
rnacentral:rRNA from 1 species